GACGAACGCUGGCGGCGUGCUUAACACAUGCAAGUCGAGCGAUGAAGUUCCUUCAGGGACGGAUUAGCGGCGGACGGGUGAGUAACACGUGGGUAACCUGCCUCAUAGAGGGGAAUAGCCUUCCGAAAGGAAGAUUAAUACCGCAUAAGAUUGUAGUUUCGCAUGAAACAGCAAUUAAAGGAGCAAUCCGCUAUGAGAUGGACCCGCGUCGCAUUAGCUAGUUGGGUAGGUAAAGGCUCACCAAGGCGACGAUGCGUAGCCGACCUGAGAGGGUGAUCGGCCAGAUUGGGACUGAGACACGGCCCAGACGCCUACGGGAGGCAGCAGUGGGGAAUAUUGCACAAUGGGGGAAACCCUGAUGCAGCAACGCCGCGUGAGUGAUGACGGUCUUCGGAUUGUAAAACUCUGUCUUCAGGGACGAUAAUGACGGUACCUGAGGAGGAAGCCACGGCUAACUACGUGCCAGCAGCCGCGGUAAAAC
rnacentral:rRNA from 1 species